ensembl:lncRNA
GCUUCUCCCGUCCCCUCCUUCCCACCCCUCCUGCGCCCCCGGAGUGCUCUGGGAUCUGCCGUGCUCUCCGGCUUUUGACCUCAGGUUCCCCUGGGCCCCUCUCUGUAGGCCUGACCUGCAGCGAGGAACCCAGAGGAAGUGAAUGCCCUGGACGACCCAAAGUGCUGAGUGAACUCCUCUUCUUCCCGCCUCCCACCCCGAGGGUGCUCCUGGCGACUGUCUUUCUGGUGCAGAGAACACCGUGGGUAGUCCCUCAGCGGUGUCCAGCCCUUCUGGCAGGCCGCCGCCGCGGCGCCCUAACCCAGAUACUCUGAGAAAGAGCAGCCGAGCAGGGAGGAGUGCAGCAGCUCCAGCUGAGGGCCACGCGAGGGGGUGGUCUGCAGGAAGCUGUGAGAGCUCCGGGACAAGGGCCAUGUGUGUCUUGUUUUCCGAAACUACUUUCGCGCCCAAUUAGGUGCGCUCUGAACCUGCACUCACUUAUUCAUUCAUUCAUUCACAUCUGGCCGAGCCUACUUCGGGGCACUGGGCCUAGGGCCGGGAACCUUACUUACUUGAUCCCUGCACUUAACUAACAAUCCAGUGGGGAAGACAAUCCUCGGGCAUCCUCACGCCUCCACCUGGUCUCCGGAGCGUGGACUAGUUAUCUCCAAGCCAGCGAACCCUGGCAGGCGGCGGACAAGACAAAGCACGGCGGCUGGGCUCGGGCGCCCUCUGGUGGCGAAGUCCCCCCUCCCCCGACUCCCGGUCCCCCUCCCCUGGGCUCCUGGUGCGGCACGGCUGAGUCCAGGCCCUGAUGGCUGAGCAGCAGGGUACAGCUGCAGGGCUCCGCCAUAGAUCCCGCAGCCAGCCCGGCGGCGCGCCAUGGAGCCCAGAGCGCAGCGGGAGCCGCGUGGAGCCUCGCCCGCAAGUCUGGCCAAAGCAAACGCCAAAACCUCUAGCUUGCUUCCUCUUUGCCACAAAAUCUGAUGCUGACCCAGCAGCCCAGGAGAGCCACUGGGAGGGACCCACGUGGACAGGGCGGAGAGGAAUCAGGACCUCCUGCUUGGCCGCGCCCCGCGACCCCUGGAUAGACAUUAGCGUGGGACCGGUCAGUGCUGAUCACUUCUUUCAUUCAGUCGUUAAAAUACUUACUGAUCAACUAUUAUGUGCUAGACACGGGCUAGGUGUUUGAAAUAUUUAAGUAAAGGGACCAAAAAACCUCCCCAAACCCCUGUCCUCCUGGAGUUCACAUCCUAGGGGUCCGGGAGACAGGAAAAGAGUACUAAAGGACAGCUAUUAAGCACAUAGUCUAUAGAAGAUCAUUAAGUGCUACAGGAAAAUGGAGCAGAGGGAAGGGGAGGAAGUUAGGACUUUAAAUAAGGAAGCCAGAGGUCUGUGUUUUCAGUAAAAUUUCCACAAUUUUUCAGUGGGCAAGCUAUUUAAAUUU